CUCCAGUACUGUCCAUUCGACUUGCCAAAUUCACUGUCAUGCCCCAGAUAUCAUACUGGGGUUUGGUGGCACCGAUGACUCCAGCAACAACAGGGCCGUGGGCAAUUCCUAGGAGGGUCUCUUGCAUAGCCAGAGCGAACAGAACCAACUCACUGAGAUGAUGCCAGUCAUUUACAACACGAGACUGUCAGGAUAAAACAGAACAAUUUUGGUGCAUAGACAGUUGAUGGGAAAUUCCAAAUGUAUAUAAUCAAUGAACUUUUAAAGAGAGAACCAAAAACAAUGAUGGCUUUAUAAGAGAAAAACAACAGCAAAAAAUACAACCUUUCAUCAAAGUCCUACCUCAUCAAAGUCUGCAAUGAUCUCAUUGAGCAGUCUGAGACACUCAACUCCCCCG